UACGGGGGGGGGCAAGCGUUGUUCGGAAUUACUGGGCGUAAAGGGCUCGUAGGCGGCCAACUAAGUCGGACGUGAAAUACCCUCGGCUUAACCGGGGAACUGCGUCCGAUACUGGAUGGCUUGAGUUUGGGAGAGGGAUGCGGAAUUCCAGGUGUAGCGGUGAAAUGCGUAGAUAUCUGGAGGAACACCGGUGGCGAAGGCGGCAUCCUGGACCAACACUGACGCUGAGGAGCGAAAGCCAGGGGAGCAAACGGG
rnacentral:rRNA from 1 species